rnacentral:lncRNA from 1 species
GAAGGAAUGAGGUGAAUUGUAAUUAUAUAGGUUUGGUCUUAGCAAGGAGAAGGACCACUUCUUCAUAAGAGAUUAAGAGAAAGGAUGAGAGGGUGGGGUGACAUGUUAAGAAAUUUCAAAAAGAAAAGAAAAGAAAAGAAAUUGUCAAAAUUCUAUGAUUAAACAUGAAGCAACAAAACUUUAUAUUAGGACUGUUAUGGUAGAAUCAUAAUCAACCUCAUUUUAUAGAUGAGGAAACUAAUGUCCAGGGUAUUUAAAUGAAUUGAUCAAAGUCCCAUAAAUGAAGGAGUUUGCCAAAUCAAGAUUUGAAUUUUACCUCACACAUAUUAAUUCACUAUUGUGAAUUGUAUAUAAAGUUAUUUGAAAUAUUUUCAUGGAAUCAAAUGAAAAGUUACAGCAAUUUUUGGGAAAAUUUUUUGGGGAAAAAAGUAUAUAUAUAUACUCUACUCUUCAAAACAAAAUAAGGCUUGGGUCUGAGUUAAAUCAGCUGUUGACUUUAAUUGAAUUUAUUGAGCAGUUGUUCAACCCUCCAUGUCACUUAGCAGAAGACAUAGACAGAUUAAAUUUAUGGCUGCAGAUGAAUCAGACAGAUUCACAACAUUUGCUCUGAUUCAUUGCAGAUCACCUUUAUGGCUGCAUGACCCAGCAGGGUCUGUGAAAGAACCAUUUUGUGGAAUUAAGCCAGCUUCCAGUGAAUCAAGCUGAAGAUAUUUUACUGUCCCACAGCAAAUUCACCCAAAUUAUACUGCUGCGUAUCCUUCUUUAUUUUGAAGAUAAAGGCAAUCAGUCUGAAAAACCUGAACCGACCUUAAGAACUGAUUUGAUCUGCUAUUUCAAGGCAACAAGGUUGAAGAUACACAGACCAUUUGCUUUUUUACAGGUACACAGAACUCCUUCAUUUUCAGAACAGGAACAGAAAUAUUUGAAUGAAUGAAGCUGUCUUUGCAUCUGAUCAGUGCUAAAGGAGAUGUUAAAUUUAUUCCCCAAAAAAAUUAUUUGAAGUGUAAGGGAAGAACCAAUCAGAAACCCAUCAAAGAAAUUCCAAUAACAGAAACAACAAUUCCCAAGAGGCUUCUUCUUUGGAGAACAUCAGACCCAAGAAAAGAAUGGCAUCUUUGCUUUUUUAUGACAAUGAUUGCAACACAACUAAAAUUAUCCACAAGAGCUUUCAUUUUAUCAUUUAGUCCAUUCUGACUCUAACUCUUCUUGUGGACUCAGGGAUAAAUAGCAUCAGAUAAUAGCUGGCAUUUUAUUAAUUACAGAGCUGCUUGAAGAGUAAAAAGGAAAUGUUUUCUUAUGAAUAGUCAUAUUCAUCUGGUCCUAUUUUGUACUUCUCUGAUCUCAGAUUUUGUAUGUAUAUGAUUCUCUAUACAAUAGAGUAUUUCUGUGUUUAGAGAAUUAAUUAAUUCUGUCCUAUAAAGAUAGAUUAUAGUGUGUGUGUGUGUGUGUGUGUGUGUGUGUGUGUGCAGGAGGUUUUAGAAGAUAGGCUGUAAUAUGAAGUUUGAAGAAUAACAUUUAAAGUUCUCACAUCAGAUAUUAAAUUUCAUAAUUCACAAUUAGUAGCUUCUGUUUCUAUAAACAAUCAAAAUAAUUUGUGAAAGGUCAUAAGGGAUAUUUUUGAGACACAUUGAGCAAUGAGUUUAAAGUAUUAUGAUUUAUUCAAAAAGAUGGAGACAUGAAACACUUGGACAAUGAAAGAAUAGCUAAAAGAAAAUGCUUGACUUUACCAUUCAUCUUUAGAUUUUUUAAAAUCAUAUAAUAAAAUUCCUCAAACAUUAAUUGAUCUAACAUUCUAAGUUACCUCAAAAUUAAUUGAGUUCCCUUUCCAAAAAAGUAUAAGUUUCAGUGUAAGCAUAUGGCCUCAGACCUCUGUCAAGGAUGAUCCCAAAAUCAUAGAUUUUGAUCUAGAAGGAACCUUAAAAUCCAUUGGGUAAAAUCCUUUCAUUUUACAGGAAACUGGGGCACAAUGAUGUUAAGAAGAUUGCCCAGGAUCAUAUAGCAAGUAAACAUCAUAUAUGCUAUUUUCCUGACCCCAAAUCCAGUACUCAUUUCACUUAAUAUAGAUGCUUUCUUUUGAUAAAGUGUAGAGUUUACACUGAUGGACAAAUGCAAUGCUGCAUUGACCCCAAAUGUCUUUCUAUCCACCAAUUUUAGGACUCAGAAAUCAAAUUUUUUUUUCUCCCUUUGUUUAAUUUGACAUAAUGGUUUGCAAUAUCAAAAGGUUUCAGAUGUGGUGGUAUUUGAAGUGUGGGGCCUUUAUUUUUGUGAUGACUACAAUUUUUGAAAUAGCUCAAGUACCACCUAAUUUAAAUGUUAAUAAAAUCUAGAACCCAUAAAACAUCUUGGCUAUUUAAGAGGAAAAGUAGUUAUGUAUGUUAUACAUUUUAACCUUAGACACAUGUUAAGAAUUUUUAGAUAAAAUAUCCUAUUAGUUAUACUGACUUUGCAAAAAACUAAUACCUGCUUUACUUUUUCAAUAUUGAUAUUUAUGCCUAGACAAAGAGACCAUAAUGACUAACAAUCCAUCAAUAAGGCACAAUGUAUGUAGUUCAUUUCUCCAUAAUGGUCAUGAAUUUGUAUUUCUCAAUCUUUAUCAUUCCACCUAUCACUCUUGUACCUCUGCUGUGUUUACCAUGUCACUUAAAUAGGAUUAGACAAGGUAGCCACAGUCUUGAAAUAGAAUAAAUCUCAUUGGUCUAUUUAGGGUUUGCAUAUUUAUUCUUGAUCUCUUCACCAACCUAUUUGUGUCAUAGUCUAUCCCAAUGAGUUCAUUGACCUAAGAGUGAAACAAUGGACUUACUCAUCGUUCAAAGAAUAUAUAUGUAUAUUGCCUAAAUUCAAUCAGGUAUUAGAGGGGCAUAAUUUGAACCCAAGUUAUUUAUCUCUGGAGCCAAAGUUCUUAACACUUUGCCACAUUGAUGCAUGCAACAAAUUAAACUAGAUAAUAUAUUAAAAAGCAUUUUAAAAACUCCAAGAUUAUAUAAAUUUAAAAGAGGUCUAUAUAGUCUGAUAUGGACAUAUUCUCAAGUCAAGUGGACAUUUCUCAAAAAUCUCCAAAGUUUCUGAGUAGUGCUUUCCUGUAUGUAAACCAAAGAUACUAUAAAGUAUAGUUUCAGUCAUGUUUCUCUUCAUUGCCAUUUAAUAUGGAAAUUUAACUAUUAAAAAUGUAUUGUUUACCAUAAAAUUUGGUAUGCUAGUCAUAUGGCUGGAAAACUAGUCUCUCAUGCAAGAAAUGGUAAGUUGAUAUGUGGAGAGACUAUUUCUACUAAAAAAUAUUAAAGAGCUUAUAGUUCAAUACCCAAUGGUGUUUGUUUUCAAAUGAAUGCAUUGAUUGGUUCAUGUGUCUAAAUAUCAUGUAAUAGUUACUUCACUGUGCCUAAAUUUAUUCAUGGGUUAGUAGGGUUGGGCACUGAAUUCCCUGGACAUGUCUUACAACUUUAGUACUAUAUUCAUUGAUGUGUAUUAUGAAUGUGUUACUAGUAAUGACUGAUAUUCAAAAAUACAAAAAAUGGUGGGGGGUG